GCCCCGGUGGUGUAGUCACAAAACGGCUACAACGGCCGAGCAUACGGGACAGUGCAACCCCUAAUGUCACUCCCGCGACCCGGGUGACGCGUCUAUCCUAAUAGGCGCGUUAGGGAAUUCAAAUCCCGGCCGGGGCGCCA
rnacentral:tRNA from 1 species